UACGUAGGGCGCAAGCGUUUGUCCGGAAUUAUUGGGCGUAAAGAGCUCGUAGGCGGUUUGUCGCGUCUGCUGUGAAAACCUAAGGCUCAACCUUGGGCUUGCAGUGGGUACGGGCAGACUAGAGUGCGGUAGGGGUGACUGGAAUUCCCGGUGUAGCGGUGGAAUGCGCAGAUAUCAGGAGGAACACCGGUGGCGAAGGCGGG
rnacentral:rRNA from 1 species